AUGACUAAUAUUUGUUUGCGCACAACAUUGGCACGUGAUGUCUUGAAACUAUGGGACACAGAAAAAAGGAUUUUGAAAAACUUUCUCUCUCUGAAUUGUGGAAGAGUUUGUCUCACCACUGAUAUGUGGACUUCUUGUCAAAAGUUGAGCUAUAUGUGUGUGACGACCCAUUUCAUUGACAAUAAUUGGAACUUACAAUAG